rnacentral:rRNA from 1 species
UGGGGAAUAUUGGACAAUGGGCGCAAGCCUGAUCCAGCCAUGCCGCGUGUGUGAAGAAGGCCUGCGGGUUGUAAAGCACUUUAAGGUGGAAAGAAGGCCCGAGGGUGAAUACCCCUUGGGAUUGACGUUACCACCAGAAUAAGCACCGGCUAACUCCGUGCCAGCAGCCGCGGUAAUACGGAGGGUGCGAGCGUUAAUCGGAAUUACUGGGCGUAAAGCGCGCGUAGGCGGUUCGUUAAGUCCGCUGUGAAAGCCCUGGGCUUAACCUGGGAACGGCAGAGGAUACUGGCGAGCUAGAGUAUGGUAGAGGAGAGUGGAAUUUCCGGUGUAGCAGUGAAAUGCAUAGAGAUCGGAAGGAACACCAGUGGCGAAGGCGACUCUCUGGACCAAUACUGACGCUGAGGUGCGAAAGCGUGGGGAGCAAACA